UGGGUGUGGCCCUAAAAAGCCAAAAAAAAAAAAAAAAAUCACCUGGACCCUACAACAUAUCCAUGAGGAAUCUGCAUUUAUUGUGAAAAGGGGCCAAGACUCAUGACCUUCCUAUGAAUAGAUACCCAACAUGU